rnacentral:lncRNA from 1 species
CGUAAAGAUCACAUUUAUGGUGAUGCAACAAAUAUACUACUAUAAUCUUUUCCUUGAACAAAAAUAUAAUCUAUGCUGACAAGAUAUACUUUCUAAAAACAAAAGUCCAUGCUUUUAAUUAGAUUUAUAAUAUCGGGUGUAAAAACAGACAAUUGAUCUUUUGAUAAUAAAAAAAAUGUGUUUGGACUUGAACGGUGCUUUUUUGUGGACUUUAGCGGAACUUGUUAUUGUGGACUUAACGGUGUUUUCUUGUGGACGUUAGCGUAGGUCAUUUUGUGGACUUUAGCGGCAAUUUUUUGGACUUUAACGGCGUUGUGGACUUUAGAGGAAUUGUGGACUUUGACGGUGCCACAACCCCUUUUGAAUGCCUUUUGCAUUCCUUGAAGUUGUCAUUUUCAUGAACACAGGGUUGAGUUCAAUAUCAUAGCAGCUACGUAGUGCUACGUAGAUUUUGACUAUUGAACGUGUACCUAUAUAAUUGUU